GAUGAACGCUGGCGGCGUGCUUAUUAAAUGAAGGUGGAGCGAAAGGAUGAGGAGUUUGUUCUUUUGAGGUUAGGGGGGGAGGGGGGGGAAACACGUGGAUAACUAACUAUUAGGAUGGGGAUAAUUUCGGGAAACGGGAGUUAAUCCGGGAUAAUUUAUUAACCCGCAGGGUUAAAUAGGGAAAGAGGGUUUGGCUGUCACUUAUAGUUGGAUCGGCGCCGCAUUAGCUAGUUGGUAAGGUAACGGCUUACCAAGGCAACGAUGCGUAGCCGACCUGAGAGGGUGAUCGGCCACACUGGAACUGAGACACGGUCCAGACUCCUACGGGAGGCAGCAGUAGGGAAUCUUCCGCAAUGGGCGAAAGCUUGACGGAGCAACGCCGCGUGAGUGAUGAAGGUCUUCGGAUCGUAAAACUCUGUUAUUAGGGAAGAACAAAUGUGUAAGUAACUAUGCACGUCUUGACGGUACCUAAUCAGAAAGCCACGGCUAACUACGUG
rnacentral:rRNA from 1 species